CAAAGAGCCUUAUCAGUAUUAAAUUUAUCAAAAAUCCCAAUAACUCAACACAGAAUUUGCACCCUAACCAAAUAUUUACAAAGCACCAUAGCUAACAUAACACGCCCAUACACAGACCACCAGAAUGAAUUUACCUACGCAAGGGGUAAGUUGUACAUAACCAUUUAAAUGUAAUAAAGACAUAAAUAUGUAUAUAGUACAUUAAAAUUAUAUGCCCCAUGCAUUAUUAAGCAAGUACAUGACCUCUAUAGCAGUACAUAAAUACAUAUAAUUAUUGACUUGUACAUAGUACAUUAUGUCAAAUUCAUUCUUGAUAGUAUAUCUAUUAUAUAUUCCUUACCAUUAGAUCACGAGCUUAAUUACCAUGCCGCGUGAAACCAGCAACCGCUAGUGCAGGGAUCCCUCUUCUCGCUCCGGGCCCAUAAACCGUGGGGGUCGCUAUCCAAUGAAUUUUACCAGGCAUCUUGGUUCUUUCUUCAGGGCCAGUCUCAUCUAAAACGGUCCAUUCUUUCCUCUUAAAUAAGACAUCUCGAUGGACUAAUGGCUAAUCAGCCCAUGCUCACACAUAAACUGUGCUGUCAUACAUUUGGUAUUUAUUUGGGGGAUGCUUGGACUCAGCUAUGGGCGUCAA
rnacentral:misc_RNA from 1 species